rfam:Gossypium arboreum cultivar AKA8401 contig_50119_3, whole genome shotgun sequence.
UAACCAUGGUGAGGGAACCUUCUCAACAAGUCUUUGUAUCUCUCCUAUGCGUCAUAAAGAGUUUUUAAAUCCAUCUGCACAAAAGAAGAGAUAUCAUUCCUCAGUUU